GAGGAAUUCUCCCUUUUUGAUUUUUUCUUAAAUUUGGAUAUUCCAAGACGACCCCCAGAAUUGGAUUCUUACGGAGAUUUUACCUGAUACAUAUGAUUUUUCAGCAAGGUGGAGAUCUAUUUUUGUGGAGUUGUGUAAAUGAACCUUACAAAAAGGGUGUUCACAUGGCACACAUUUGCUCCGGUGCUGCACCGAUGUAUUUUGUUGCGAUAUAUUUUACACCGCAGCAAAUUUUCGUGUCAGCAUCGGCAGAGCGUCGGUGCAGCCCCACUUGCGUUCACACGGCAGUUUCUGCAGCGGAGCAAAACGAGCAAAAAGCUGUCGUGUUGGUUCUUUUUACACGUAUACACAACUCAAGCGACUACUGGACAGGCACGUCCUUCUCCUUCUUGGUCUCCGUGCCUUCUGCUCGAGUGUGACCGCCCCCGAAAACGUAAAUCAACGAUGACUUCAAUGACACUCAGAAAAGCAAACACGUAAUGCGCCAAACAGAAAAUCAAGGGAGGAAAUCACAAAAUAAA